rnacentral:rRNA from 1 species
GUGCCUACGGGAGGCAGCAGUGGGGAAUAUUGCACAAUGGGGAAAACCCUGAUGCAGCGACGCCGCGUGAGUGAAGAAGUAUUUCGGUAUGUAAAGCUCUAUCAGCAGGGAAGAAAAAAGACGGUACCUGACUAAGAAGCCCCGGCUAACUACGUGCCAGCAGCCGCGGUAAUACGUAGGGGGCAAGCGUUAUCCGGAUUUACUGGGUGUGAAGGGAGCGUAGACGGUUACGCAAGUCUGGAGUGAAAGGCGGGGGCCCAACCCCCGGACUGCUUUGGAAACUGUAUAACUGGAGUGCAGGAGAG